CUAGGGAGCUGGGGAGUCAGGCUCAGGCUUCUAGGAGCUCUCAGUGCAGUGGUGCCUAUGGGUCCAGUCAUGAUAUGCUGCUGCUGUGUGGGUGAAUACAAUGGUCCAGUAAGCUGGAGUGCUCUCAAUUCAGAUGUUGAAGAUGAAGAAUAAGAAACAGACUGUGACCAAUAUAUAAUCAAGAGUCCUGAAAAACACUGGCUAAAAACAGAAGUAGGAGUCUUAGGCUGGGGUAUCCUUCUGUGGUAAAGUCAUAGACUGCUCUUCUUUCAAGGCUGCAGGCUGUCCCAUCCAGGCUAGUCUCUUGGAGGAAUCCUGCAUGCGGCUGUUUCUCAGUCACUGCCUAAUUGGAGCUUCUCAAUCCACUCAAGUUGGCAAGAUUACCCAUCAGAGUGUGUCGCUGAAAACAGAGGAGAUUGAAAUCAACAGCUGAUCUGGGUGAGGAAGCCAGGCAUGCGCACAACCAGAAAGCGCGCAUUCCAAGCAAGUGCAGCGCCCCUGAGGUGGCAAGGCUGCUGCUGAAUGGGUUGAAGUAUAGAAAAGAGGCCAUGCAGGCUGCCAAAGGGACAUUCCAGCAACAGAAAGCGGAAUAAGACAUCUACAAAAGAGGUCAUACCACUGAUGCCAGCAUCAAUAAGACCAUUACAUGGGCUGGAGAGAUGGCUCAGCGGUUAAGAGUGCCAACUGCUCUUCUGAAGGUCGUGAGUUCAAA